rnacentral:rRNA from 1 species
GACGAACGCUGGCGGCGUGCCUAAUACAUGCAAGUUGAGCGCUGAAGGUUGGUACUUGUACCCACUGGAUGAGCAGCGAACGGGUGAGUAACGCGUGGGGAAUCUGCCUUUGAGCGGGGGACAACAUUUGGAAACGAAUGCUAAUACCGCAUAAAAACUUUAAACACAAGUUUUAAGUUUGAAAGAUGCAAUUGCCUCACUCAAAGAUGAUUCCGCGUUGUAUUAGUUAGUUGGUGAGGUAAAGGCUCACCAAGGCGAUGAUACAUAGCCGACCUGAGAGGGUUAUCCGCCACAUUUGGAACUAGACACCGCCCAAACUCCCACCGGAGGCAGCAGUAGGGAAACUUCGGCCAAUGACGAAAGUCUUACCGAACAACGCCGCGGUAGUUAAGAAAGGUCUCGGAUCUUAAAACUCCUUUUGUAGAGAAAAAAGUUGGUGAGAGUAGAAAGCUCAUCAAGUGACGGUAACUACACAGAAAGGGACGGCUAACUACGUG